GUCGUAUUAGUACAAGCGUUCCUAUCCUGAAUUUGUAACCACACAUACACACGGGUUUGUUUCAUGUGUACAUUCAAAACUUCAAAAAAGAACUGGCUUCAUAAUGAGUUCAGUGAUUAUAUAUAGAUGAUGCCACCAAAUUUUCAAGUGAAGGUAUCCUCACGAUCUCCUUCAGCCGUUUCACCCUCCUCUAAGUUACUGAACUCCAAGAAAUGGGUAG
rnacentral:misc_RNA from 1 species